rnacentral:rRNA from 1 species
UACGUAGGGGGCUAGCGUUGUCCGGAAUCAUUGGGCGUAAAGGGCGCGUAGGCGGUGCGGUAAGUCUGUAGUGAAAUCUCUGGGCUCAACUCAGAGUCUGCUAUAGAAACUGCCGUGCUUGAGUGUGGGAGAGGUGAGUGGAAUUCCCGGGUGUAGCGGUGAAAUGCGUAGAUAUCGGGAGGAACACCUGUGGCGAAAGCGGCUCACUGGACCACAACUGACGCUGAGGCGCGAAAGCUAGGGGAGCAAACAGG